GAGUGAACGCUGGCGGUAGGCCUAACACAUGCAAGUCGAACGGCAGCACAGGAGAGCUUGCUCUCUGGGUGGCGAGUGGCGGACGGGUGAGGAAUACAUCGGAAUCUACUCUGUCGUGGGGGAUAACGUAGGGAAACUUACGCUAAUACCGCAUACGACCUACGGGUGAAAGUGGGGGACCGCAAGGCCUCACGCGAUUGAAUGAGCCGAUGUCGGAUUAGCUAGUUGGCGGGGUAAAGGCCCACCAAGGCGACGAUCCGUAGCUGGUCUGAGAGGAUGAUCAGCCACACUGGAACUGAGACACGGUCCAGACUCCUACGGGAGGCAGCAGUGGGGAAUAUUGGACAAUGGGCGCAAGCCUGAUCCAGCCAUACCGCGUGAGUGAAGAAGGCCCUCGGGUUGUAAAGCUCUUUUGUUGGGAAAGAAAUCCUGCCGGUUAAUACCUGGCAGGGAUGACGGUACCCAAAGAAUAAGCACCGGCUAACUUCGU
rnacentral:rRNA from 1 species